UUUGUAGUUUUUAAACUUAGUCUUUAUGCAUUUUGAUGCCUUUAUCUUCAUGUACUUUCCUUUAUCUUUAAUAUAAUGAGUUUAUUUUGGACAUUUGAUGCCUUUGUUGAGGGGGAGCUCAUUUUAAGGGGGAGAUUUCUUUUCUUUAUUCUUUUUGUUUCUGAUCAAAAUAGGGGGAGAAGAAAUUUAUUAAGGAGAAUAAACUUGAACAGGUACUACUAACCUUGUUGCUGUUUUUAGUUUGUAUGUAUUGCAGGUAAAACUAAGUUGCUUUUAAAAGAAUUUUUGAUCAUCAUCAAAAAGGGGGAGAUUGUUACCAAUAAAGGAGUAUUGGUAAAACCUGAAGACAAGUUUUGAUGAUGCUGCAAAUUGUAAUUUUUGUUUGUAAUAGGAGAAUAUUUAAAAGCAACUUGUAGUCUCUUGAAUGUAGUAGGAAAAUAAUUAACAUUGUAAUUUCUACUGAUAUAAUCGAUUAUGGACAUGCUAUAAUCGAUUAUCAUAUGCUUUUGAACUACAAUAAUCGAUUAUCAUGAAGUAAUAAUCGAUUAUCACAAGUCUCACUUGAAUAAUCGAUUAUCACUUACAAUAAUCGAUUAUCACUUUUUGAAUUUUCUAUAACGGACUUGAAUAAUCGAUUAUCACUUACAAUAAUCGAUUAUUCAUGGCAGUUGUGAGCUGACCUUUGGCAUUCAGCGUGUUUGGCUAUUUAAGUGAUUUUUGAAAGCCUCAGAAGAAACAUUUUGAGUAAACUGAGAAAGCCAGAACACUGAGUAGUUAGAGGAACGUUCUUGAGAGCUUUUGUUUACUUGGUUCCCUUGCUUGGUCUUGUGAAAGGAGAGGCUCGCGUAUCGUGUGUCGAUAGUCGGAGCAGACUCUCUUCGAGUUAGCAAGGUUCCCUUGCCUGGUCUUGUGGAAGGAGAGGCUUACGUAUCGUGUGCCGAUAGUCGAAGUGGACUCUCUUCAAGUUGGCAGGGCUCUCUACCUGGUCUUGUGUAAGGAGAAGCACGUGAAUCGUGUGUCGAUUGCCGGUGCAGGUUCUCUUCAAGUUGGUAGAGUCGUUUCUUUCAUUCUAUUCCUGUUUAUUAUCUUGUAAUCUGUUAAACCAAUUUUUAGUGGAACUGUUAAUCAUUAUUUGUGUUGUUCUUAUAGUUCUUUAGGUUCUGACACAUGUAUAUACCAUUUCUUUUAUGCAUCUUUAGUUUCCUUAUUUAGUUUUACUUUUAGUUUUCGUGCUCCAUUAAAUCAUAUCAUGUGUAGGUUAGUUUUUAGCUACUGUAUGCUUAGUUAGAUUUUAUCUUUUUCAUACUUUAGUUUAGGUUUUAUUUCCUUACAUAUUCUUGCUUUAUUUUCUUUUAAAACAGAUUUAAUUUCUUAUUACUUUUUUCUCUUUGAUUUCUUAGUUUUCAAAUAAAGUUCUUUUCCCCACCUAUUUGAUAGAUAAUAAAUAAAUAAAAUACAAGAACUAACCUUACAUUCUUAAAACUUAAUUGUACCGAGUUUGCGGAUUGAUUCCCUGGUUGCCCUAUACUACAUUAGUGGGGACUAGGGUUUGUUGACUUUUAGCACGACAUAAAAGCCUUUCAACAAGUAUGCAUAUUAAUGUUUUAAAUGACAAAACUACUUGCACAAAGCAUAUCUAUAUGAAGUAAUCUAUUGAAGUGUUUAUGUAAUAAAUUAGACUCAUCACAUAUUAGGUAAUGCUUAAUUGUGGCAAACUACAAGUUUUAACUGAUUACAUUAUAUGUAUAAUCGAUUAAAACAUGUGCCUUUGCUACCAACAGUUUGUUAAGUG
rnacentral:lncRNA from 1 species